AUUGAACGCUGGCGGCAUGCCUUACACAUGCAAGUCGAACGGUAACAGCACUUCGGUGGCUGACGAGUGGCGAACGGGUGAGUAAUACAUCGGAACGUGCCCGAGAGUGGGGGAUAACGCAGCGAAAGCUGUGCUAAUACCGCAUACGAUCUACGGAUGAAAGCAGGGGACCGCAAGGCCUUGCGCUCAUGGAGCGGCCGAUGGCAGAUUAGGUAGUUGGUGGGAUAAAAGCUUACCAAGCCGACGAUCUGUAGCUGGUCUGAGAGGACGACCAGCCACACUGGGACUGAGACACGGCCCAGACUCCUACGGGAGGCAGCAGUGGGGAAUUUUGGACAAUGGGCGAAAGCCUGAUCCAGCCAUGCCGCGUGCAGGAUGAAGGCCUUCGGGUUGUAAACUGCUUUUGUACGGAACGAAAAGGUCUUUUCUAAUAAAGAAGGCUCAUGACGGUACCGUAAGAAUAAGCACCGGCUAACUACGUGCCAGCAGCCGCGGUAAUACGUAGGGUGCAAGCGUUAAUCGGAAUUACUGGGCGUAAAGCGUGCGCAGGCGGUUAUAUAAGACAGAUGUGAAAUCCCCGGGCUCAACCUGGGAACUGCAUUAGUGACUGUAUAGCUAGAGUGCGGCAGAGGGGGAUGGAAUUCCGCGUGUAGCAGUGAAAUGCGUAGAUAUGCGGAGGAACACCGAUGGCGAAGGCAAUCCCCUGGGCCUGCACUGACGCUCAUGCACGAAAGCGUGGGGAGCAAACAGGAUUAGAUACCCUGGUAGUCCACGCCCUAAACGAUGUCAACUGGUUGUUGGGAAUUUACUUUCUCAGUAACGAAGCUAACGCGUGAAGUUGACCGCCUGGGGAGUACGGCCGCAAGGUUAAAACUCAAAGGAAUUGACGGGGACCCGCACAAGCGGUGGAUGAUGUGGUUUAAUUCGAUGCAACGCGAAAAACCUUACCCACCUUUGACAUGUAUGGAAGAUCGCAGAGACGCGAUUGUGCUCGAAAGAGAGCCAUAACACAGGUGCUGCAUGGCUGUCGUCAGCUCGUGUCGUGAGAUG
rnacentral:rRNA from 1 species